rnacentral:lncRNA from 1 species
CGUACCUGCUGCGCGCCGGGGCGCCUGCUGCUUCCUCCUCGGCAUCGCGGGGCUCCGGCGGCCGCCGGCGGGGGGGGGGGCUGCCUCGGCGCGGGGGUGGGAAGUGUUGCCUCAGCCCCGGAGAUCCGCUGAGCUGCUCCAGUGUCGGCUCGAGGGCUGGGUUGGGGAUAUAUUUUUUGUUGCCGUGCAUGCACGAUGCCGAGGAGGAGGAGGAGGUGGAGGAGGAGGCGGCGGCGGAGGAGGAGGCGGCACAGAGGAGAGGACAGCCCUGCUGCUGCUGCUGCUGCUGGCAGAAGAGGGGGAAGUUUGACAAAUCGCCCCGGAGGAAGGAGGAGGGAAAGCCCCCCGAAGAGAUCACAAAAAACUCGGCUGGCCCCGCUCCUCGAGCUUUGGGAUGCGUCCAGUACCUGACUAAGUGCAGAUGUUGUUGCGUCCUCGCAUCGCAGAGCCGCCGCUCCCGCCUUUCCUUUUCAAGUUGCAGGAAAUUCAAACACUUUGCGUCAAGGGUGGAGAAGGAAGAAAAAUCUAUUGAAUUUUCUAUCAGACGGAUUACAGCAGGAAAUGCAGACCGCUUCACGUGCAUCACCUUCUUUGGGGGCUCGCGGUCUGUUUCGGAGAGCCAGAACACUACUAAGUGUAACAUUCACAAACAACGCAUAAAUCGGUGGCUGCCCAGACUCCAUCCGCACAGACUAAGCACACGAGGCUCAGCUCUAAGCUCUCCCUGUCCGGCACUUUUAACCCAAGGUACCCGCUAUUGACUAGCCCCACACUCUGAUCACCACACCGAUGACCGUCCCACCGGCUCGGAGAGUGCCGCGUCGCUGCUCGCCUCCACCGCCCGCUUCCUGCCCGCACGGGAGAAACCGCGGCGGGCCCGGGGCAACGAGCAGGCACGGCGGCGGCCCGCGGGGGUCAAGAAACGAACAGCGCCGUGCCGGCCGCCGCCACCGAGAGAGAGCGAAGCCGAGCUCCCGGCGCGCCUUCGAGGCGGGCGGGCGGCCCUGCGGCAGCUCCGGAGGCGCCCUUCGGAGCCCCCCGACGCCGAGAGAGCCUCAAAUCGGGGUCUUGGCACCAAGUUAGGCAGUCCUGCGGCUGCACCGAGCCGCCGGGGGGGCUCACCUGCCCGCCGCCUCCCACCGCACGCAGCGGCUGCGCCACUGAGGCGGCGCCUUAUGACCGCGGGCCUCAGACGGGAUCCCCCCCCAGCCCGUGUCGCCCCCCCGCCAUGUCGCCUCCCGUCCCGGGGAACGCUGUCCCCCGCAGCCCCCGCCGUCGGGGUGCGAGAAGGCGGCGGGGAGCGCUCCACUUUCUGCCGGCGAGGAACAAAGGAGCAGCGGCUUGCAUUAGCGCCGGGCGGGAGGGAUGCGCCUCUGACAAGUUUGUUUAAAAACACAACUGCCCGCGACGGAAAACGAUACUCCACUUUUGUGAAACACAAAGUAUUGUCAAUAACCAUUAUAACGACAAUAAUUAUCUGAGGGCAGAACAAAGGCAUUUUGUAAUAUCUACAUAACUUUAUUAGAGCAAAAUUAUUUUAAAAUGCCUCUGAAUUCCCAAGUCUCCUGAGUACAAAUGAAUAAAAGUUUUUUUCUCCGGGCUAAAAUCUUUGCUUGAAUGUAAAUUGUUUGGGUAAGUGAAUUUACACAGCAGCAAAGUUUGUUUGUCUUAGUCCAGUAGCUUUGCUUUAACGAACCAGAUGUUUUGUCUGUAAAUUGUCCAGAGGACUUUUACAGUUCUGACACAUAACGAGCCUCAGAAAAUCGCAACUGGGAUAGCGGGGUCCUUGCGACCAGGACCAGGCAUUUCGGAGGGGGCACGGGGGGGGGAAAUAAACCAGACCGGGCAGCGCAGGCACGUCCAGCGCCCCGCCGUGCAGAAGCGCCCCUGCUAAGCCGGAGGUAACCGUGGACGGGCCAAUCCUACUCCCCUGGGGGCUGCCGGUGCCCCCCGCACCCCUGGGGGUACCAAAACCUGCCGGUUCCAGACGCAC